rnacentral:miRNA from 1 species
ACAUAGUCAUACGGUGAAUGUU